rnacentral:sRNA from 1 species
UGUCUGUAUAAUGUUUAGAUACAUACCAUAUACAUAAUGUUGCCAAAGUGUACGACUUUUGGCAAAAGGUUUAGCAAAUUUAGUUAGUCUGAAGUAAGCUAUUCCGAAGCCAUAUAAAUUUUAUGAGGAUAAGCUCCAAACAAAUUCCGUCAUAAUGGCUUAUUCCUGGGAUAACCGUGUCGAUUUUGUCGUUCGGUAUAUGUAUGGUGAGUAGAAAAGGGCUUGGGAUAAACGCAUCCCUUAGUGAACUAAAAUUCCUUAAAA